GCUAAUAAAACUCAUGUUGUCACAUUCGUCGUAUGGAGUGGACCAAAACGCAGCGGGAAUGUAAGUGCUCAUCUUCUUCUUUAUUUAUAAAGAAACGUGACACAAAACAACGGCGAAAAAACUGUCUCGUAAGGACAAAAUGACUAUACAGAGAAACAACUACCCACAAAUCCCAUGACAAAAACACCUCUAUUAAAUAGGACCUUCAAUUAGAGGCAACGAGGAACAGCUGCCUCCAAUUGAAGAUCAACCCAAUAAACUACGCAUAGAAAUAGAACAAAUAGAACGAACAUAGAAAUACACUAACAUAGAACAUAAACCAAAACACCCCGAAACACCCUAAACAAACACCUCCUGCCAUGCCCUGACCAAACUACAAUAACAAACAACCCCUUUUACUGGUUAGGACGUGACACAUGUAUAACUGGCUAUACAGACUGGCACCCAGGCUAAUAAAAAUCAUACAAAAUCCUGAAGAGUAUUAACUGAAAACAUUAGUAGUUUAUUGUGACUAGAAAUCACCACUGUGCAUCACUACAAUUCCUCCUAUUGGCCCUCCAACACCACUUCCAGCAGCAUCUGGUCUCCCAUCCAGGACCAACCCUGCUUAGCUUCAGAAGCAAGCCAGCAGUGGGAUGCAGGGUGGUCUGCUGCUGGCAUAUUGUGACUAGAAAUCACCACUGUGCAUCACUACAAUACCUCGCUACCUUAAUAAGUACACAUAUCACAUCAACGGAGUACAAUGAGUUAUUCAAUAAUUCAUAUAAAAAUAACAAAAUAGCCUGAUAUCCCCCAUCAGUCAAUGGACAGCAACACACAAAAAUAACUUACGUUAAAACACUAAACACUUACUGUAUUUCUGCAAAAUACUUAUUUCUGCACUGUAGAAGCAGCCUAUUAUUAACAACCUACUGUAUAAUCAGCCUAUCAUUAACAACCUACUGUAAAAGUAGGAUAUUAUUAACAACCUACUGUAUAAUCAGCCUAUCAUUAACAACCUACUGUAGAAUCAGCCUAUCAUUAACAGCCUAAUGUAUAAUCAGCCUAUCAUUAACAACCUACUGUAUAAUCAGCCUAUCAUUAACAACCUACUGUAUGAUCAGGAUAUCAUUAACAACCUACUGUA
rnacentral:lncRNA from 1 species